rnacentral:rRNA from 1 species
GGCGUCAGGAUGAACGCUAGCUACAGGCUUAACACAUGCAAGUCGAGGGGCAGCAUGAUCGAAGCUGCUUGAUUGAUGGCGACCGGCGCACGGGUGAGUAACGCGUAUCCAACCUUCCCUAUAGUAGAGGAUAGCCCGGCGAAAGUCGGAUUAAUACUCUAUGUUUUCCAAUGCAGACAUCUAAAAUGGAACAAAGGUUUACCGCUAUAGGAUGGGGAUGCGCCUGAUUAGGUUGUUGGCGGGGUAACGGCCCACCAAGCCUACGAUCAGUAGGGGUUCUGAGAGGAAGGUCCCCCACAUUGGAACUGAGACACGGUCCAAACUCCUACGGGAGGCAGCAGUGAGGAAUAUUGGUCAAUGGGCGAGAGCCUGAACCAGCCAAGUAAGCGUGCAGGAUGACGGCCCUAUGGGUUGUAAACUGCUUUUAUACGGGGAUGAAGUGAGGGACGCGUCCCUUUUUGUAGGUACCGUAUGAAUAAGGACCGGCUAAUUCCGUGCCAGCCGCAGC